rnacentral:rRNA from 1 species
CACCAGCACCCCGAGUGGUCGGGACGAUUAUUGGGCCUAAAGCAUCCGUAGCCGGUUCUACAAGUCUUCCGUUAAAUCCACCUGCUUAACAGAUGGGCUGCGGAGGAUACUAUGGAGCUAGGAGGCGGGAGAGGCAAGCGGUACUUAGUGGGUAGGGGUAAAAUCCGUUGAUCCAUUGAAGACCACCAGUGGCGAAGGCGGCUUGCCAGAACGCACUCGACGGUGAGGGAUGAAAGCUGGGGGAGCAAACCGG